rnacentral:rRNA from 1 species
CCUACGGGUGGCAGCAGUGAGGAAUAUUGGUCAAUGGACGAGAGUCUGAACCAGCCAAGUAGCGUGAAGGAUGACUGCCCUAUGGGUUGUAAACUUCUUUUAUAUGGGAAUAAAAUGUGCCACGUGUGGGAUUUUGUAUGUACCAUAUGAAUACGGAUCGGCUAACUCCGUGCCAGCAGCCGCGGUAAUACGGAGGAGCCGAGCGUUAUCCGGAUGUAUUGGGUGUAAAGGGAGCGUAGGUGGAUAGGUAAGUCAGUAGUGAAAGUUUGCGGCUCAACCGUAAAACUGCAGUUGAAACUGGCAGGCUUGAGUGCAGUAGAGGUAGGCGGAAUUCGUGGUGUAGCGGUGAAAUGCGUAGAUAUCACGAAGAACACCGGUUGCGAAGGCAGCCCACUGGACUGCAACUGACGCUGAGGCUCGAAAGUGUGGGGAUCAAACAGGAUUAGAUACCCCAGUAGUC